rnacentral:rRNA from 1 species
CUACGGGCUGCUGCAGUCGAGGAUCUUUCGCAAUGGGCGCAAGCCUGACGAUGCGACGCCGUGUGAGCGAUGAAGGCCUUCGGGUCGUAAAGCUCUGUCACGUGGGACGAACGUCCUGAUGGCGAAUAGCCUGAUGGGCUGACUGUACCACGAGAGGAAGCCACGGCUAACUCCGUGCCAGCAGCCGCGGUAAUACGGAGGUGGCAAACGUUGUUCGGAUUCAUUGGGUGUAAAGGGUAUGUAGGUGGCCUAGUAAGUCGGAUGUGAAAUCCUUUGGCUCAACCAAAGAACUGCAUUCGAAACUGCUUGGCUUGAGUUUGGUAGAGGAGAGUGGAAUUCCAGGUGUAAGAGUGAAAUCUGUAGAUAUCUGGAAGAACACCAGUGGCGAAAGCGACUCUCUGGUCCAAAACUGACACUGAAAUACGAAAGCUAGGGGAGCAAACAGGAUUAGAUACCCGGGUAGUC